GCAUCGGGUUGCAACGAGAAAGCAUGCUGAUGAGGUAUACAGUAUGGAAUUACGCCCAUUGUCUGUGUAAAGAACUUCCACAAACAACGCUUCUUUUCAACAGGUAACACUUUGGAGCCGUCAUAUUUCUUCGGCGAGGUUCUCCUUUUUGAUAUUUAACGGAGAUACUGCCCUAGGCUAGGAGACAUCCUUGGGUGUGAUAAUCCUGUCAAAAAACGAAGUAGAACUGAGAACUGAAGGUCAGUGGGUGUGCUCCAAUCCCAAGACCAAGCCAGUUACCUGUUUGCACCCAGGAGGACAAAGGCCACUUGAGUUCACUGGACGGGCAGCCGGCAAGUAGGGACCACAGUAGCGGGGUGAGGAGAAAUUCUCCCUGCCAAAUUUUGCCUCCCUAACCUGCUGGAGUGCCAGAGAAAACGCAAUGCUCCCUGUGGAAUCCCCAGAAAAGAUCAACAACAUGGCACAGCCAGGUUUUGAACCUGACUGUAUGACUCACCCUACCACCACUCAGCCAAGCCACACAGGGACAGUUAUAAGUAAUCAGCUCAAAUAAACACCCACUGAGCUGAUGCUUUCAACAUGAGUUUAUGAGGCAAUAGACAUCCUUAGGAAAUAUUUAAAUAAACAAUUUGUUAAAUAAAACCAUAUAGAGAACUGUACCUUUAAUAAGUAAUUGUCAUUUUCACAAGCAAUCAAAGUGAGCCACAGGUAAAAAUAGAAUUCCUUAUUUAAGAACAUAUUAUAUUAUGAUCAGAGACUGGUUUUGGCUAACACUCACGUUUGCAAGAGCUUUUUUUGUUUUUGUUUUUUUUUAAAUGUACAUGGCUUUAACUGACAGCUUUGCUGAAGAACAAAUAAAUAAAGAAAUAAAUUAUC